AUUGAACGCUGGCGGCAUGCCUUACACAUGCAAGUCGAACGGCAGCACGGGAGCAAUCCUGGUGGCGAGUGGCGAACGGGUGAGUAAUAUAUCGGAACGUGCCCAGUCGUGGGGGAUAACGCAGCGAAAGCUGUGCUAAUACCGCAUACGAUCUACGGAUGAAAGCGGGGGAUCGCAAGACCUCGCGCGAUUGGAGCGGCCGAUAUCAGAUUAGCUAGUUGGUAAGGUAAAGGCUCACCAAGGCGACGAUCUGUAGCUGGUCUGAGAGGACGACCAGCCACACUGGAACUGAGACACGGUCCAGACUCCUACGGGAGGCAGCAGUGGGGAAUUUUGGACAAUGGGCGAAAGCCUGAUCCAGCAAUGCCGCGUGCAGGAUGAAGGCCUUCGGGUUGUAAACUGCUUUUGUACGGAACGAAACGGUGAGCUCUAAUACAGUUUGCUAAUGACGGUACCGUAAGAAUAAGCACCGGCUAACUACGUGCCAGCCGCCGCGGUAACAC
rnacentral:rRNA from 1 species